rnacentral:rRNA from 1 species
UACCAGCACCCCGAGUGGUCGGGACGUUUAUUGGGCCUAAAGCAUCCGUAGCCGGUUCUACAAGUCUUCCGUUAAAUCCAACUGCUUAACAGGUGGGCUGCGGAAGAUACUAUAGAGCUAGGAGGCGGGAGAGGCAAGCGGUACUCGAUGGGUAGGGGUAAAAUCCGUUGAUCCAUUGAAGACCACCAGUGGCGAAGGCGGCUUGCCAGAAUGCGCUCGACGGUGAGGGAUGAAAGCUGGGGGGAGCAAAGCCGG